UACGUAGGGGGCAAGCGUUGUCCGGAUUUAUUGGGCGUAAAGAGCGUGUAGGCGGCUUGGUAGGUCCGCUGUGAAAACUCGAGGCUCAACCUCGAGAUGUCGGCGGAAACCACUUGGCUAGAGUCCGGAAGAGGAGAGUGGAAUUCCUGGUGUAGCGGUGAAAUGCGCAGAUAUCAGGAAGAACACCUAUGGCGAAGGCGGUCUGCUGGGGUCGAACUGACGCUGAGGCGCGACAGCGUGGGGAGCAAACAGG
rnacentral:rRNA from 1 species